GAUGAAGAACGCAGCGAAAUGCGAUACGUAAUGUGAAUUGCAGAAUUCAGUGAAUCAUCGAGUCUUUGAACGCACAUUGCGCCCCCUCGUAUUCCGGGGGGCAUGCCUGUCCGAGCGUCAUUGCUGCCCUCAAGCCCGGCUUGUGUGUUGGGUCUCGUCCCCCUUCCCGGGGGGACGGGCCCGAAAGGCAGCGGCGGCACCGCGUCCGGUCCUCGAGCGUAUGGGGCUUUGUCACCCGCUCUGUAGGCCCGGCCGGCGCUUGCCGAUCAACCAAAACUUUUUUCCAGGUUGACCUCGGAUCAGGUAGGGAUACCCGCUGAACUUAAGCAUAUCAAUAAGCGGAGGA
rnacentral:misc_RNA from 1 species